UAAUACUCCAUAGUAUUUACCGCAUGGUAAAUAAAUUAAAACUCAGGUGGUAUAAGAUGAGUAUSGUCCUAUUAGCUAGAUGGUAAGGUAACGSUUACCAUGGCAACGAUAGGUAGGGNNBCUGAGAGGUUAUCCCCCACACUGGUACUGAGACACGGACCUGACUCUACGGGAGGCAGCAGUGAGGAAUAUUGGUCAAUGGAGGCAACUCUGAACCAGCCAUGCCGCGUGAAGGAAGAAUGUCCUAUGGAUUGUAAGCUUCUUUUAUUUGGGAAGAACUCCCU
rnacentral:rRNA from 1 species